GCAAACCAAGGGGACCCUCCCCUCCCUCCCGCUCCUCCCACACUGCACGGCGAGUUCCAGCCGGGGCAGUAAGGCAAUAACACGGACCUCAAAUCACCGGGAUUAGCAAAAAAGACGUACAACUACGCCUCACACAGUAGGUGGACUCGUCUGAGGAAUCCACAAAGAUAAAAUGAAACGAAGUAAAACCUGAUAAGAUGAACGAAGGAGUUUAACAAGGCCAUGGGGUGUAGGAUCAAACACAGAGGGGCGGUAUUUCUGCACUGACAGGGAACACCCCAAGAUGAAAUGCAGAAAGUGUCCCGGUCAAAUAGCAUCAUCAGAAAGAAUAAGCUACUUAGGAAUAAUUUCACAAGGGAAGUGUGAGACUGGUACACUGCAAACUGCAAAACAUGGUUGGUAAAAAGACCCAAAGAAAACCUGAACAGAUGGAGAGAUUUCCCACACCGAGGCCGGAAGGCCGAACCCUGCGCAGACAGCGGGGCUCCCGCGGUGCUCCCCAUGGCCUUCGUCCCCCUCUGGCCAAGUUCCCUCCCCGGCUCACAGCCCCUCCUCCUGGUUACCACCCUCCGCCCUCCCUCUGCAAGUGCAGGAGGCCCAAGCCACCGGCCGGUGAGCUGGGGAUCCAGCCUCUCCUGGCGUUUUACCCGCAUAGAUUACAGCUGACGGCACUGGAGCGAGGGGCUGACUCUGCCUGAGGGAGGCUUGGACCCUGGGCUGGAGGGGGCCAGGGACCCAGACCCACACUUGAUUUAGAAGGACACGGGGCUGUCAAACCUAUGCGGGGUCAUCACAACCGGCCCUUGGUUCGUCCCUUUUCGACCAAGCUCAGGACACUGUAACCCAGGAAGAUGAGCUCAUGGUUCUGAGAUGACCCAGGGAAUCGGACAAUCCCAGCCGAACCCCUUGUUCCUUCCUCUCAUCAUUGACGCUCCUCCCAGAUGACUUCGAGAGCCCUGCAGAUCCUUCUGCUACUCCCCAGCCCAGAAGACCCAGGGACAGAAGCCCUCGAGGUUCUGGCUGGGCCCACGCGCUGAGAUGCCUCUGAGAAAGCUGUCUUUCCGUGGUGGAUCCCGCUGGACGCCCGUGAACACGGGGCCAAUUUGCAGAGGUCUGGAAGGAGGCCUCUGCACGGCACCCAGGCCUGACACAGAUAUCAUUUCUGAUUGUGGAAUUUUACUCUCAAACCAAAAGAUGCUACACACCGCUCCUGACGCCGUGGCAUGGAAUGACAUGAUGCGUCCCGUGUUUCCAUAUUUCUCUUCUGUGGCUUAUUGGUGCCACUCAAGCACCGCACAACAAUGACGUCUGUCCUAGCAGGGCACACGCACUCUGUGUCUGAACGAGUAUUGAGCUGAUUCCAAAGGCCAGCAGAGACAUGGGCCGUGCAUUUAUCUGGAGGAGACCAGGUGUGCCGUGGUUGGCUCUGGCUGCAGGACACUGGGCUGAGCACUGACCCAGGCCACCCCAAGUCACCAAAAGAGGGUAGGGAGGGGUGGACAAAAGUAUUUAUUUUGCUUAUUUUCUUGCCAGUGUCCAGAUUCAAAGGUACUGCUUUUAAACUAUAUUAGCACUUUCUGCCCUGCGGCCUACAAUGACCGUGCUGUGAUUAUUAAACACUUCAUAAUAAUAAUGCAGUAUUUCCCCA